rnacentral:rRNA from 1 species
UACAUAGGGGGCGAGCGUUGUCCGGAAUGAUUGGGCGUAAAGGGCGUGUAGGCGGCUUGUCAAGUCUAUCGUGAAAUACCUCUUUUUAAGGGAGGGGUUGCGGUGGAAACUGAUGAGCUUGAGUGCGGAAGAGGUAAGUGGAAUUCCCAGUGUAGCGGUGAAAUGCGUAGAUAUUGGGAGGAACACCAGUGGCGAAGGCGACUUACUGGGCCGCAACUGACGCUGAGGCGCGAGAGCGUGGGGAGCAAACAGGAUUAGAUACCCUGGUAGU